UACGAAGGGGGCUAGCGUUGUUCGGAUUUACUGGGCGUAAAGCGCACGUAGGCGGAUCUUUAAGUCAGAGGUUAAAUCCCAAGGCUCAACCUUGGAACUGCCUUUGAUACUGGGGAUCUUGAGUCCGGGAGAGGUGAGUGGAACUGCGAGUGUAGAGGUGAAAUUCGUAGAUAUUCGCAAGAACACCAGUGGCGAAGGCGGCUCACUGGCCCGGUACUGACGCUGAGGUGCGAAAGCGUGGGGAGCAAACAGG
rnacentral:rRNA from 1 species